GCUGGGAGGCGCCGUGCUGAUCCUGGGCGCGUACUUACAGGCUUGGUAACUUUGCACGUGCCACCCACGCAUCCUCGUUAUAAGAAGGGGCGAAUUGCAGUGUGAGCGGAGCAGGCGUGGGUGAUCUCGAUAAGAGGGUCUUCAGCGCAUGCAACUUUCACUCGCAGUGAAAGAACGACAGCCGUUGUCCCCAUGGGAAAUGCCUCUUUUGAAUAUCGUGUUAUUAGGGAAGGCGGAGUGCAACAAAGUGCAGAGAGCCGCGGCGCGUCUAGAAAGGGUUAACCGUAGAAAGGCGCCUAAAAUGCCAGGAGCUGCAGAAGCGCCGCUGUGGGCCAGUCGCUUUCGCCUUCUAUUCCCUUCUUCAAACCCUGCUACAAAAUGAGCCAAGUGCGCGUACAUAUUACUCGUGUUAUUUAUUAAGAUCAGUGUUGUUGUUGCUGUUUAAGAAACAGCGCGCGCACCCCACUUGGUUGACUGCCCCCUGGGCUCCCCUCUCCCUUCUGCGGGCACCUCGCAGGCUUCUUCUUCUUCCGCGGCGGAAUGUCAGGGCAGCGCUGCACUUGAGAGCCCCCGGACAGGCGUGACGGGAUCGCCUUCUCUUUUAGAUCGCCUUUCUGCGAUCUGGGUAGCAACACCGGCCCGCUUUCGAGAGAGGCGGGCGGCGAGAAGCCAGUCCCCUGCCGUCAAGGCUACUGGGCGGCAUUCUGCCCUUGAGCGCCGCGCAGAAAAGGUAAAACCGCGAUAAAUGGUGCCGAGCGCCGCGACAGUCCAGUCACAAAGCCAUUGUUUGGCCAAGCCCGUCUUUUAAGUGAUAUUCACAGACGACAACAACAAAAAAUGUCAUAAGCUAAAUAUAACCCCGCCUUCUUCUACAGCGGCCUCUCUCUUCAGGCAAAAGCUAUCAAAGCCACAACCAUUUGCAGAAGACAUAUUUAAACCGAAAAGGGGGGAAAUCAGAGAAAAGUUGGGGCACAGGCAGUUGAAAUGACUAUCUUAUGGUCACGCAGUGGCAGUAGUGGGAUCUGGACUCGCAACCUCAGGGGUCUGAAGUCCAAAGCCCUAACAACUCCACUACACCUCUCAAGGACAAUGACUAUAAACAGAUCAAAUGUGAGCACAAGGAGAACAUGGCAACAGGUUAA